rnacentral:rRNA from 1 species
AACGAACGCUGGCUGCAGGCCUAACACAUGCAAGUCGAGCGCGCCCUUCGGGGUGAGCGGCGGACGGGUGAGUAACGCGUGGGAACGUGCCCUUCUCUGCGGAAUAGCCUCGGGAAACUGAGAGUAAUACCGCAUACGCCCUUUGGGGGAAAGAUUUAUCGGAGAAGGAUCGGCCCGCGUUGGAUUAGGUAGUUGGUGGGGUAAUGGCCCACCAAGCCGACGAUCCAUAGCUGGUUUGAGAGGAUGAUCAGCCACACUGGGACUGAGACACGGCCCAGACUCCUACGGGAGGCAGCAGUGGGGAAUCUUAGACAAUGGGGGCAACCCUGAUCUAGCCAUGCCGCGUGAGUGAUGAAGGCCUUAGGGUUGUAAAGCUCUUUCAGCUGGGAAGAUAAUGACGGUACCAGCAGAAGAAGCCCCGGCUAACUCCGUG